rnacentral:rRNA from 1 species
UACGGAGGGUGCAAGCGUUGUUCGGAAUCACUGGGCGUAAAGCGCGUGUAGGCGGCUAUCUAAGUCUGAUGUGAAAGCCCUGGGCUCAAUUCAGGAAGUGCAUUGGAUACUGGAUAGCUGGAGUACCGGAGAGGAGGGUGGAAUUCCUGGUGUAGCGGUGAAAUGCGUAGAUAUCAGGAGGAACACCGGUGGCGAAGGCGUCCCUCUGGCCGGAUACUGACGCUGAGACGCGAAAGCGUGGGGAGCAAACAGG